AUAGUAUUAUUUUUAAUAGUAUAUGUUCUUAUCGGUUUAAUAUCUUAUACAAGGGCCACCGACCUUGUAUUAUGUGGGUCUCGGCCUACAUUAUAUUGAACUAAAUUUUUUUAGGUCGGGUCAACUAGAGUAGCUUGCUACUAUAGUGAUUCUAGCAUCUCCUUGGUGUUGAGCUAUGCCAAAUUUUGGUGCACCCUCU